rnacentral:rRNA from 1 species
AACGCGAAGAACCUUACCUGGCCUUGACAUCCAGAGAACUUAGCAGAGAUGCUUUGGUGCCUUCGGGAACUCUGAGACAGGUGCUGCAUGGCUGUCGUCAGCUCGUGUUGUGAAAUGUUGGGUUAAGUCCCGCAACGAGCGCAACCCUUAUCCUUUGUUGCCAGCGGGUGAUGCCGGGAACUCAAAGGAGACUGCCGGUGAUAAACCGGAGGAAGGUGGGGAUGACGUCAAGUCAUCAUGGCCCUUACGGCCAGGGCUACACACGUGCUACAAUGGCGCAUACAAAGAGAAGCGACCUCGCGAGAGCAAGCGGACCUCAUAAAGUGCGUCGUAGUCCGGAUCGGAGUCUGCAACUCGACUCCGUGAAGUCGGAAUCGCUAGUAAUCGUAGAUCAGAAUGCUACGGUGAAUACGUUCCCGGGUCUUGUACACACGC